AAUGAACGCUGGCGGCAGGCCUAACACAUGCAAGUCGAACGGAUCCUUCGGGAUUAGUGGCGGACGGGUGAGUAACGCGUGGGAACAUACCCAAAGGUACGGAAUAGCCUCGGGAAACUGGGAGUAAUACCGUAUGUGCUCGAAAGAGGAAAGAUUUAUCGCCUUUGGAUUGGCCCGCGUUGGAUUAGGUAGUUGGUGGGGUAAUGGCCUACCAAGCCGACGAUCCAUAGCUGGUUUGAGAGGAUGAUCAGCCACACUGGGACUGGGACACGGCCCUGGCUACUACGGGCGACUGCAGUGAGGAAUCUUAGACUAUGGGGGAAACCCUGAUCUAUCCAUGCCGCGUUAUCGAUGAAGGCCUUAGUGUUGUAAAGAUCGUUCGCGUGGGAAGAUAUUGACUGUACCACCAGAAGAAGCCCCGCCUAACUCCGUGCCAGCCGCCGCCGUAA
rnacentral:rRNA from 1 species